CAAUUUGACCAUUACAAAACGCAGCUUUACGAUAUAUAACAGAAGUGGGUGAACCCAUACUUCAAAGGUGUCUUUUGUGCCAAGAUGACUAGCACACGGCGCAGCGAGAGUGCAGACAAUAUGUUAAAAGAUUACACGCCACCAGCCAGUCCAAUGCAUGUGUUCGUGCGGCAGUACAUGAGGCUUCAAUUUUACCAAGAACCAGAUGAGAGCUAGCAAGAAAAGAGGACAAGGAUUGUCGGCGACUUAUAG
rnacentral:rRNA from 1 species